UACGUAGGGUGCAAGCGUUGUCCGGAAUUAUUGGGCGUAAAGAGCUCGUAGGCGGUUUGUCGCGUCUGCUGUGAAAACUCGGGGCUUAACUCCGGGCCUGCAGUGGGUACGGGCAGACUAGAGUGCGGUAGGGGAGACUGGAAUUCCUGGUGUAGCGGUGAAAUGCGCAGAUAUCGGGAGGAACACCGGUGGCGAAGGCGGUUCUCUGGGCCUGUACUGACGCUGAGGAGCGAAAGCGUGGGGAGCAAACAGG
rnacentral:rRNA from 1 species